CACUGAUGUAUCCAACGAGUAUAUAGCCUUGGCCGACAGGCCCGGGUAAUCUUGGGAAAUUUCAUCGUGAUGGGGAUAGAUCAUUGCAAUUGUUGGUCUUCAAUGAGGAAUGCCUAGUAAGCGCGAGUCAUCAGCUCGCGUUGACUACGUCCGCAUUUAUUAGAUAAAAGGCUGACGUGGGCUCUGCUCGCUGAUUCGAUGAUUCAUGAUAACUUGAUGGAUCACACGGCCCUCGUGCCGGCGACGCAUCAUUCAAAUUUCUGCCAUAUCAACUUUCGAUGGUAGGAUAGGGGCCUACCAUGGUGGUGAUGGGUGACGGAGAAUUAGGGUUCGAUUCC
rnacentral:rRNA from 1 species